rfam:Ornithorhynchus anatinus chromosome 11, whole genome shotgun sequence.
CCCCUCUCAGGGUCGCACCUGGAGAGUUUCCAGUAUCCUACCAGUCUCGAUUUUGGGAGGGAAAGUCGAGCAGAGGCCUACCCAUCCCAUUCCUAGCGUGGUCAGUGGCUAGGGAGUGGAAGGCAAUCUGCUACAAGU